CCUACGGGAGGCAGCAGUGGGGAAUAUUGGACAAUGGGCGAAAGCCUGAUCCAGCCAUGCCGCGUGUGUGAAGAAGGCCUUCGGGUUGUAAAGCACUUUCAGUGGGGAAGAAAGCCUUGGGGCUAAUACCCUCGAGGAAGGACAUCACCCACAGAAGAAGCACCGGCUAACUCCGUGCCAGCAGCCGCGGUAAUACGGAGGGUGCGAGCGUUAAUCGGAAUUACUGGGCGUAAAGCGCGCGUAGGCGGUCUGAUAAGCCGGUUGUGAAAGCCCCGGGCUCAACCUGGGAACGGCAUCCGGAACUGUCAGGCUAGAGUGCAGGAGAGGAAGGUAGAAUUCCCGGUGUAGCGGUGUAAUGCGUAGAGAUCGGGAGGAAUACCAGUGGCGAAGGCGGCCUUCUGGACUGACACUGACGCUGAGGUGCGAAAGCGUGGGUAGCAAACAGGAUUAGAUACCCCUGUAGUC
rnacentral:rRNA from 1 species